rnacentral:SRP_RNA from 1 species
GCCGGGCGCGGUGGCUCACGCCUGUAAUCCUAGCAUUUGGGAGGCCGAGGUGGGUGGAUCACCUGAGGUCAGGAGUUCGAGACCAGCCUGGCCAUCAUGGUGAAACCCCAUCUUUUUUUAAUUUUUAAUUUUAAGAUGGGAUUUCACCAUGUUGGCCAGGAUGGUCUCGAACUCCUGACCUCAAGUGAACCACCCACCUCGGC